GCAUAGACAAGUGAGCAGUGGGAAGAGACUUGUUCCCUCCCGAGGCCUAGCGCCGUAUAAAUGCCCCCCACCUCUCCCCAAUGGGUCACAGAGGACCUCUGAGGGUUAGGAGUAAGGGGAGAGACCCGAUAGCAUAUAAAUGACAGCGCAAGUGACGUGUUACCUGCGCUGGUGAUCCUGGCGGAGGGGACUGUGGGUCACCGCUCACAUCCACACCUGGAAUGGGCCAGUACUGCCUCCAAGCCAGAUACGCCACUGUCCGCGGAGUGCCUCCCACAGAUCAGCAAGUUCUGCACCGCCCCCACCGAGCGCCCCCAGAAACCAAAUGAGGAAACCAAGAUGGUGCUGAAUACCAUGGAGACCCAAGACUCAACAGGAUGAUAAGAAGAAAAAGCCAAGGGUUUAUCACUGGACCAGCCACCUCUAUCACAUCUUCCAGGGCUCAGGAAACA